rnacentral:rRNA from 1 species
UGGAAACGGCGGCUAAUACCGCAUACGCCCCCCGGGGGAAAGGCUUCGGCCACUCUAGGAUGGUCCCGCGUCCGAUUAGCUUGUUGGUGGGGUAACGGCCUACCAAGGCGACGAUCGGUAGCUGGUCUGAGAGGAUGAUCAGCCACACUGGGACUGAGACACGGCCCAGACUCCUACGGGAGGCAGCAGUGGGGAAUAUUGGACAAUGGGGGAAACCCUGAUCCAGCAAUGCCGCGUGAGUGAAAAAGGCCUUAGGGUUGUAAAACUCUUUCACCCGUGAAGAUGAUGACGGUAGCGGGAGAAGAAGCUCCGGCUAACUCCGUGCCAGCAGCCGCGGUAAUACGGAGGGGGCUAGCGUUGUUCGGAAUUACUGGGCGUAAAGCGCGCGUAGGCGGUACAUCAAGUUAGGCGUGAAAGGCCUGGGCUCAACCCGGGAAUUGCGCUUAAUACUGGUGAACUUGAGUCCGGGAGAGGGUGGCGGA